rnacentral:rRNA from 1 species
CUGCGAGUGAAGCGGGAAAAGCUCAAAUUUAAAAUCUGGCGGUCUUUGGCCGUCCGAGUUGUAGUCUGGAGAAGUGUUUUCCGUGCUGGACCGUGUACAAGUCUCUUGGAACAGAGCGUCAUAGAGGGUGAGAAUCCCGUCUUUGACACGGACUACCAGUGCUUUGUGAUGCGCUCUCAAAGAGUCGAGUUGUUUGGGAAUGCAGCUCAAAAUGGGUGGUAAAUUCCAUCUAAAGCUAAAUAUUGGCGAGAGACCGAUAGCGAACAAGUACCGUGAGGGAAAGAUGAAAAGCACUUUGGAAAGAGAGUUAAACAGUACGUGAAAUUGCUGAAAGGGAAACGCUUGAAGUCAGUCGCGUUGAUCAGAACUCAGCCUUGCUUUUGCUUGGUGCAUUUUCUGGUUGACGGGCCAGCAUCGAUUUUGACCAUCGGAAAAAGGCUAGGGGAAUGUGGCACCUUCGGGUGUGUUAUAGCCCUUAGUCACAUACGGUGGUUGGGAUCGAGGACCGCAGCACGCCUUUAUGGCCGGGGUUCGCCCACGUUCGUGCUUAGGAUGCUGGCGUAAUGGCUUUAAACGAC